UUAACUUUAAUAAAAAAAAUUAAAUCUGUUCUUAUCAGUUUAAUAUCUGAUAUGUUUUCUAUCUGAGGACUAUAUAUUAAAUGGAUUUUUGGAACAGGGAGAUGGAAUAGGCGCUUGUUCCAUCCACUCCAUGCAUCAACCUGGUAUUGCAGUACCUCCAGGAACGGUGCACCUCCC
rnacentral:snRNA from 1 species